rnacentral:rRNA from 1 species
UGGAGGACCGAACCGGUAAACGUUGAAAAGUUUUCGGAUGACCUGUGGGUAGGGGUGAAAGGCCAAUCAAACUUGGAGAUAGCUCGUACUCCCCGAAAUGCAUUUAGGUGCAGCGUCGGGUUGAGGUGUCAUGGAGGUAGAGCUACCAAUAGGGCUAGGGGGCUUCACCGCCUACCAACCCCUGAUGAACUCCGAAUGCCAUGACAUCAUACCGGCAGUGAGGCUACGGGUGCUAAGGUCCGUAGCCGAGAGGGGAACAACCCAGACCAACAGCUAAGGUCCCCAAAUAGAUAUUAAGUUGAUUUUAACGAUGUGAGGAUGCAGUGACAGCUAGGAUGUUUGCUUGGAAGCAGCAAUUCAUUUAAAGAGUGCGUAACAGCUCACUAGUCGAGCGUUCUUGCGCGGAAAAUAAUCGGGCAUCAAAUAUCUUACCGAAGCUUUGGAUACCAGUCUAGGACUGGUGGUGGUAGGGGAGCAUUCUAAACUGCAGUGAAGGUGUGUCGUGAGAUGCGCUGGAGUGUUUAGAAAAGCAAAUGUAGGAAUGAGUAACGAUAAAAUAGGUGAGAAACCUAUUCGCCGUAAGACUAAGGAUUCCGGGAUCUAUGUUAAUCAGAACCGGGUUAGUCGGGGCCUAAGGUGUAGCCGAAGGGCGAAGCCGAUGGGAAACAGGUUAAUAUUCCUGUACAUGUAUCAGCUGUGAUGGGGUGACGAAGGAGCGUAAGGUUCGCCCACUGACGGAAUAGUGGGUUGAAGGGAGAAGGCGUUGAAGAUAUAGGCAAAUCCGUAUCUGAGCUGAGACCUGAUAGUACACAAGUCCCUUGGGAUGAGUGAUAGUGACUGUAAGCAUACUUCCAAGAAAAACCUCUAAACUUCAGGCUGACACAUCCCGUACCGUAAACCGACACAGGUAGUCGAGGAGAGUAUCCUAAGGCGCUCGAGUGAUCCGUGGCUAAGGAACUAGGCAAAAUGGUCUCGUAACUUCGGGAGAAGAGACUCCCCUCGUGAGAGGGGACGCAGUGAAGAGGCCCAGGCGACUGUUUAACAAAAACACAGGACUCUGCAAAAUCGUAAGAUGAAGUAUAGGGUCUGACACCUGCCCGGUGCUGGAAGGUUAAGGAAGGGGGUUAGUGCGUAAGUGCGAAGCUCUUAACUGAAGCCCCAGUAAACGGCGGCCGUAACUAUAACGGUCCUAAGGUAGCGAAAUUCCUUGUCGGGUAAGUUCCGACCUGCACGAAUGGUGUAACGAUCUGGGCGCUGUCUCAGCCACGAGCUCGGUGAAAUUGAAGUAUCGGUGAAGAUGCCGAUUACCCGCAACGGGACGGAAAGACCCCGUGAACCUUUACUACAACUUCACAUUGAGCUUGAAUACAGGAUGUGUAGGAUAGGUGGGAGGCUACGAAGCUGUGACGCUAGUCAUGGUGGAGCCAACGUUGAAAUACCACCCUUCCUGUAUUUAGGUUCUAAUCCCUAAAAGGGAAACAGUGUGUGGUGGGUAGUUUGACUGGGGUGGUCGCCUCCAAAAAAGUAACGGAGGCUCGCAAAGGUACACUCAGCAUGGUCGGUAAUCAUGCGAAGAGCGUAUUAGUAUAAGUGUGCUUGACUGAGAGACCGACGGGUCGAUCAGGAACGAAAGUUGGCUAAAGUGAUCCGGUGUUUCCGCAUGGAAGGGACAUCGCUCAAAGGAUAAAAGGUACUCCGGGGAUAACAGGCUGAUCCUACCCAAGAGCUCAUAUCGACGGUAGGGUUUGGCACCUCGAUGUCGGCUCGUCACAUCCUGGGGCUGGAGAAGGUCCCA